CCCUUAGAUGUCCUGGACUGCACGCGCGCUACACUGAUGUGUCCAGUAAGCACCUAACCUAUUCCGAGAGGAGCGGGUAACCUUAGCAAAGCACAUCGUGAUGGGGAUAGAUUAUUGCAAUUAUUAGUCUUGAACGAGGAAUUCCUAGUAAGCACAAGUCAUCAGCUUGUGUUGAUUACGUCCCUGCCCUUUGUACACACCGCCCGUCGCUCCUACCGAUUGAAUGUUCCGGUGAGCUCUUCGGACUGCGCGGUCUGCAGUUUCUGCGUUCCGUGCGGAAAGUUGUGCAAACCUUAACAUUUAGAGGAAGGAGAAGUCGUAACA
rnacentral:rRNA from 1 species